rnacentral:rRNA from 1 species
GACGUAGGAGGCGAGCGUUUGUCCGGAUUCAUUGGGCGUAAAGAGCUCGUAGGCGGCCACUCAAGUCGAAUGUGAAACCUCGAGGCUUAACCUCGAGCCUGCAUUCGAUACUGGGCGGCUAGAGUCUGGUAGGGGGGAUCUGGAAUUCCUGGUGUAGCGGUGGAAUGCGCAGAUAUCAGGAGGAACACCGGUGGCGAAGGCGGGGAUCCUGGGCCAGUACUGACGGCUGAGAAGCGAAAGCAUGGGGAGCAAACAGG